rnacentral:tRNA from 1 species
GUGCCUUUGGCGCAGCGGUAGCGCAUCGGGUUGUGGUCCCGAGGGGCGUCGGUUCGAUUCCGACAAGGCACCCCA